rnacentral:rRNA from 1 species
UACGGGGGGGGGCAAGCGUUGUUCGGAAUUACUGGGCGUAAAGGGCUCGUAGGCGGCCAACUAAGUCAGACGUGAAAUCCCUCGGCUUAACCGGGGAACUGCAUCUGAUACUGGAUGGCUUGAGUUCGGGAGAGGGAUGCGGAAUUCCAGGUGUAGCGGUGAAAUGCGUAGAUAUGUGGAGGAACACCUGUGGCGAAGGCGCCUUGCUGGCCAAUUUCUGACGCUGAGGCGCGAAAGCGUGGGGAGCAAACAGG